AUGCCACUGGGUUCAUGCAGCAGAUCAAUGAGAGACCGCAAUGUUAGAGAUGGCAGGUGGUCGGAUCUAGCCGAGGGGAAGGGGGCGCGCGGAGGGCGGCUCGAGCACGAGACGGAGGCUGCCAGCAAGGACCUCGGCCCGCAGACGAGCAGGGCGUCGAGGAGGUCGUCGCAGGCGCGGACGGAGCGGGCGACGCCUCCUUUAGGAACGUGCCGCACCCGGCCUUCAGGAACGUGGUUGCAUCCCGCCGCCUCCUCCGUGUCUGGCGUCGCCGCACCCUGGUGCUUGAUCCCAAUCCCGCCGCUGCCGCCCCACGCCUCCAGCGCCAUCUCCAUCUCCAUCCCCGUGGAGGGUCGGUCCCUUGCUGUCCAGCCACUCCCACGCCGCCUCCCUCUCAUCGAAGGGCGCCUCCCUCGUCGUCCAGCGCUGCCCCCUCGCCGUCCAGCGGCUCCAGUGCCGCCUCCAUCCCGAUUAACGGGCGCCUCCCUCGCCGUCCAGCCACCCAGCGCCGCCUCUCUCCCCGUUGACUGGGUCCUCUCUCGCCCUCCAGAUCUGCUUUCCUCGCCAUUCAAAUCUGAUUCCCAUGCCGGCCAGCCGCCUCACCCUUCUGUCUCCCUCCUAGUCCAGCUUCUCCCACUGCCAAGUCAACUCUUGGCGAACUGCAACCGACCUGGGGAGAGGAAGACCCAAAAAACAAAAGGGAGGUUGAGACAUCAUCUCCAUUUCCCUAUUUCUCUAAUCUAUAGGGCAGUUCCAAACCUGUUGUUUGAUGUUACUGGUAUUAUGUUUGGUCAAUGGCAUACCUUCUGGGAGUUCUUCUUUGCAACUUUGAUUGGGAAGACCAGCAUCAAGACUCGUAUUCAGCUUCUUCCCAUGCCAAGAAGACCAUGGUGCUACUUCGGCCAAGGAGAAUCAUUUAGGAAUAAGUUCAAUCCUGAAGGUGUAUUCCUGACAGGGAUACCAUCAGGAAAGACAAACUUAGGGCAAAAUGUCGUCCGUCAGGAAACGCCAUCAGGAAUGUAUUUCCUGACGGUUACCCUCAUGAAUGAAGGUCAUUCCGUACAGGCUGUUGCUGACGGGUGA
rnacentral:rRNA from 1 species